UACGUAGGGUGCGAGCGUUAAUCGGAAUUACUGGGCGUAAAGCGUGCGCAGGCGGUUUUGUAAGACUGUCGUGAAAUCCCCGGGCUUAACCUGGGAAUGGCGAUGGUGACUGCAAGGCUAGAGUUUGGCAGAGGGGGGUAGAAUUCCACGUGUAGCAGUGAAAUGCGUAGAUAUGUGGAGGAACACCGAUGGCGAAGGCAGCCCCCUGGGUCAAAACUGAAGCUCAUGCACGAAAGCGUGGGGAGCAAACAGG
rnacentral:rRNA from 1 species